rnacentral:rRNA from 1 species
UACGGAGGGUGCAAGCGUUGCUCGGAAUUAUUGGGCGUAAAGGGCAGGUAGGUGGUCUUAUUUGUCUGGGGUGAAAUCCUUGAGCUUAACUCAAGAAGUGCCCUAGAAACGGUAAGACUAGAGUCUUGGAGAGGGUCGUGGAAUUCCCGGUGUAGCGGUGAAAUGCGUAGAGAUCGGGAGGAACACCAGAGGCGAAGGCGGCGACCUGGACAAGAACUGACACUCAACUGCGAAAGCGUGGGGAUCAAACAGG